GACGAACGCUGGCGGCGUGCUUAACACAUGCAAGUCGAGCGGAAAGGCCCUUCGGGGUACUCGAGCGGCGAACGGGUGAGUAACACGUGAGUAACCUGCCCUAGGCUUUGGGAUAACCCUCGGAAACGGGGGCUAAUACCGGAUAUGACUGCUGGCCGCAUGGUUGGUGGUGGAAAGUUUUUCGGUCUGGGAUGGGCUCGCGGCCUAUCAGCUUGUUGGUGGGGUGAUGGCCUACCAAGGCGACGACGGGGUAGCCGGCCUGAGAGGGCGACCGGCCACACUGGGACUGAGACACGGCCCAGACUCCUACGGGAGGCAGCAGUGGGGAAUAUUGCACAAUGGGCGGAAGCCUGACGCAGCGACGCCGCGUGGGGGAUG
rnacentral:rRNA from 1 species